rnacentral:rRNA from 1 species
CAGUAGCCGCGGGAAUACGAGGGGAGCUAGCGUUAUUCGGAAUUACUGGGCGUAAAGCGCACGUAGGCGGCUUUGUAAGUUAGAGGUGAAAGCCCAGAGCUCAACUCUGGAAUUGCCUUUAAGACUGCAUCGCUUGAAUCCAGGAGAGGUGAGUGGAAUUCCGAGUGUAGAGGUGAAAUUCGUAGAUAUUCGGAAGAACACCAGUGGCGAAGGCGGCUCACUGGACUGGUAUUGACGCUGAGGUGCGAAAGCGUGGGGAGCAAACAGGAUUAGAUACCCCCGUAGUCCCUGUCUCUUAUAC